AAUCCGUAUUACGGGCACUUUCUUAGGAGCUCCUUAAACCUUUGCCAUGUCUCAAAUAGAGACUCCAAUUCCAACUGUACAACGGAUGAGAUCUCAUUCCUAAGUUU